rnacentral:rRNA from 1 species
ACGCACGCUGGCGGCGUGCUUCACACCUGCAAGUCGCACGGAAAGGCCCUGCUUGCAGGGUACUCGAGUGGCGAACGGGUGAGUAACACGUGGGUGAUCUGCCCUGCACUUCGGGAUAAGCCUGGGAAACUGGGUCUAAUACCGGAUAGGAGCCAUUUUUAGUGUGAUGGUUGGAAAGUUUUUUCGGUGUAGGAUGAGCUCGCGGCCUAUCAGCUUGUUGGUGGGGUAAUGGCCUACCAAGGCGGCGACGGGUAGCCGGCCUGAGAGGGUGGACGGCCACAUUGGGACUGAGAUACGGCCCAGACUCCUACGGGAGGCAGCAGUGGGGAAUAUUGCACAAUGGGCGCAAGCCUGAUGCAGCGACGCCGCGUGGGGGAUGACGGCCUUCGGGUUGUAAACUCCUUUCGCUAGGGACGAAGCUUUUCGUGACGGUACCUAGAGAAGAAGCACCGGCUAACUACGUG